GUGGCUGUAGCUCAGCUGGUUAGAGUACCAGGUUGUGGCCCUGGGGGUCGCCGGUUCGAACCCGGUCAGCCACCCCA
rnacentral:tRNA from 1 species